rnacentral:rRNA from 1 species
GUAGGGUGCAAGCGUUAAUCGGAAUUACUGGGCGUAAAGCGCGUGUAGGCGGCCAGAAAAGUCCGCUGUGAAAACUCGAGGCUCAACUUCGAGCUGUCGGUGGAAACUUUCUGGCUAGAGUCCGGAAGAGGAGAAUGGAAUUCCUGGUGUAGCGGUGAAAUGCGCAGAUAUCAGGAAGAACACCCGUGGCGAAGGCGGUUCUCUGGGACGGUACUGACGCUGAGACGCGAAAGCGUGGGGAGCGAACAGG